AUUGAACGCUGGCGGCAGGCCUAACACAUGCAAGUCGAACGAGUGGCGGACGGGUGAGUAAUGUCUGGGAAACUGCCCGAUGGAGGGGGAUAACUACUGGAAACGGUAGCUAAUACCGCAUACCAUCGGAUGUGCCCAGAUGGGAUUAGCGAGUAGGUGGGGUAACGGCUCACCUAGGCGACGAUCCCUAGCUGGUCUGAGAGGAUGACCACACACACUGGAACUGCGACACGGUCCAGACUCCGACGGGAGGCAGCAGUGGGGAAUAUUGCACAAUGGGCGCAAGCCUGAUGCAGCCAUGCCGCGUGUAUGAAGAAGGCCUUCGGGUUGUAAAGUACUUUCAGCGAGGAGGCUAUACUCGGAGAAGAAGCACCGGCUAACUCCGUGCCAGCAGCCGCGGUAAUAC
rnacentral:rRNA from 1 species